CGUUUAAACAAGCUGUAUUUUAUGUCCUAUGUAAAUAAGCGAUCAUUGCAUGCAGUUAAUCUCACAAAGUGCACACUGUGUGCAGAUUGUAUUUGCGCAGCAAAAUCAUGCAUUGCGUAAGCAUGAGAAGGCCAGCCCGGUUGCACUAUGUAUAGAAUGAAGUUAUUCAAAUCGUUGCCUUUCAAUUGAUACAUUUCGCUCGUGAUGACAAUAUCUAUGAUUGGAUUAUAAUACACGUUAAUGUUUCGUACACUCGGAAUAUACAAAUGUGUGGAAUACAUUCAAUACCAGGAUGGUGCAAGAACAUGAGUUCGGUACAAUAUGAGGAAUAUACAGAUGAAAUUGGACCGCAGAUUGACCAAUCAUAUUGCAUCUACGAUACAUGAUGAUUUCGCAUGAUAAUCAUGCUUGCGUCGUUACUUUCAUCACCUAAUGACUGAAGAGUUUGCCAAGUGGAGGCAGUCACGACUGAAUCUGCCCCAAUUAAUAUUUGAAUGUGAGAAACAUAUUGUGGCGGCAACAGCUGGUGUUUUGCUUGAAAUUAACGACUGUUGUCUGUAAUAUACGAAUGUGCAUUAAUUGGAUUUUACUGGACACAGUGACGAACUAUCCAUUGAGGCCAUAAGCACAACCUCAGAGGUAUUUUAUAGUACGUCCCAUAUUGCUUCAAGUUGUACCUGUCAGAAGUUCAAUGUUCGCGGCUACUGACAUACAUAUACCUGUAAUAUUGACGUUUUCAAUCAAUUCGAAUAUUAACACAGAUAAUCAAUGAGGAUACCUGACAGUGCUUCGCAUGCAUGCCACUUACUGCUAUCUACUUGCAGACUGUCCACAAAUAUGGCAAAUGAUUGCAAAUUAUUUGAGCAUUGGAAAUUUGAAAUACGUACAAAUGUAAUGGUGUGCGUCUGUUUUACUCGAGAAAUGUGCCAUCUACUGAUGAUGUAUUAUUGAAAUUUCACGAUAAUGUUCCAGACGACAAUGGUUGUCGACAUUUUGAUGACGUCAGCAUUUUGACUUUGAAGUUCAACGCAGAAGGCGGAGCAGACUGAACAACACGUGACUUUACGGGAUGUGAGUCAUACGAAAAUAAACACCGAAAAAGGCUAAAGGCGAUUUCACCAUUAUAGUUGCGAAUUGAUCACCAUUUUUGCCAGUGCCAGACAGUAUGCAACCUAAAAAUAUUGUUUGUUAUGUUUAUGUGUCUUGUGCUUCCAAUGGUUUUAACACUUUGCAGUACGAUUAAUUUCGCCAUCAAAGACGUGAUGAUGUUUAUCUUGCGUUCGAUUAAAGUACGCAUGUACCAUUUAACUUCCAUUGCAUCAGUUUUGCAUAGGCUACUUUAAGUUUAUGUAACACCCAGUAGAAAUAUGUAUUGGUUCACUAAUGUAGGUGUAUUUUAGGACAAACAUUUUAAUACCUUCAAAUAGUUAUUGCAUCCACCAUUUUAAAAUGUUUUAAAGCAGUCCAUUCAAAUACACAUUAAUCAAGGGGUAGAACAAAAUGAUAUAUUUUGCAAGACCAUGUGGUAAUUCCACUGUCAUAUUUAAUGUACUUCUUUUUAUAAGUAUAAUACAAUAUUUCGUGAUUUCUUUUCUUAAUAAUAUACCGUCAUAAUAGUUAAAUUGUUAAAUAUAUUAACAUUCAAAUCAAGUAAAUAAUUGAACAAAAGUGACCUUUUUACAAGCCAAAUAAACAUGUAUAUACUGUAAACAUGAUUAUACGUGACGAGUUGUCUACUGAACGAGUUGUCAACGAGUACUAUGUUUUAAAAAUAUCAAACAACUCUUAUGAUCACUCAAUAAUGUAAGCUCGUCCAAACCCUCUUAAAUAAACAUAGUUAUUCUCAAUUUACAAAAACUUCAAAAUAAUUAAACAACAUUUAAAAAAUAAGCUAUUGGCAGUAAAAUAUAAGUCAUGAUAGGGGCUCCAAUGGAAUGCGUAUUCUGAAGCCUCGGUAAGGCUGCCUUGUCUUCCGUACUCUUAAACCUUGUGAUAUCAACUUGAAGUGAAACUAUCAUGCUCUCUGUCUCCUUUUACGACUCUAUGCGCAGUUUGACGAUGCGCCCCUUGGUUUUGCAGCUUACAAGGAUAAUGAGCUACAGACCAGCUCAACAAUUAAUAUUCGUCCUUCCUUUUUUUCUGAAGGUACCUUUCCGGAUUCAUUUCAGCACCGGGAUACAUGGCUCUGAACCAGCUGACAUUGAAGAUGUAUUACAGCUUCUAGUGAGUUGUUUUAUGUACUGGAUCAUUUCAUUGUUAUCUGGGCCUGAUUUUUACUUUUUAUUUCCGUUAUUUUAUACACAUUUUCAUUUUUUUUUCUAGUUUGAUUAUUUGUGUCUUGGCUUCAUGCACGUUGUUUUUUUUUCGCCGAUCCUUUUCCUUUCCUUCUGACAAAAGGCUUUGACUUGUACCCUUUGUACUUAUGUAUUACUCUCGUUUCGCCCUUCCUUUCAAUAUAAGUUUAAGCGUGAUCUUCUGAUCCCUAUGGCCUUUGUCAUCUUCAGUUUCCAUGACUUUGUGGUAUCUCUCUUGUUUAGUGUUGAUGUCUUUUCACUCAAGCAUAUCCGUAUACUUUACAUCUUGAUCUAUAAGUAUCGAACCUUGCUUUCCUAAACCGUCCCAUGGCUACAUAUGGCGAGAACAAAGGGCCACCAGAUGGGAAGACUAAAUUGACGCGAGGAGCCCGGUAAUGCACCUGCCUAGUGGGACUUGACAAAGCGUUCGAUAAUCUCGUUGUCUUCUACUCAGUGUCAUGUUUUGUUGAUUUUCGUUUCACCAUUAAUUUUAGAGUUUGCUGAUCCAUCCUGGUACCUCAGUUGUAAGGGCUCGGGGUUCUAUUAGGGUUUCCUCGACCCUAGCUCAGGGUCAAAUUACCUCCCCAUUUAGCGAAUGUAUUAAUAUUCCACAAUACAUAAACUCGAAUUUUAGAUGCAAUAGCGCAUCUCUUAAACGUAUUGUGCUCUUCUCGUGGUUAGUAAGGCCUGCCUUAUCUCUCACACCUUGCCCCAAUAUAUAAAGACCAACCCCCUUCCUGUUCGACCCAUGUGGACCAGCAAGGUUUAGGAUGGUCGCCCCAGUAUGUUAAUACUAAGUAGCAUAUUUUAACUAAAGAUUGAGCGAACUUCAUCAGAAUGUAUAUUUGAAAUAAAACAGACUAACCAUAUUUAACAUAAAAGAUUCGUCUCAGCUAUGGAAAAUAUCGCAAAUUGUUAACUUAGCCCUAAUAUUAUUCAUUGCACUUAUCCAAUUUAUAUUGAUAAAAACAUUUGAGUUCACUCAAUUUCAACGUAAUGCCUUCUCUAAAGUGCAUGUAACACAUGUGUGGCUAUUUUUAAACGGUAUGUUACGUGUAGCCUAAGCUUGUGCGAUUAGUUAAUUUAAAGUCUUUAUAUCUGACCGCAUGUCUGAUCAUGCAUCACAGUGGCUGAUUAAACCUUAUCCAAGCCUCCUACGUAAUAUGAGAUAUAAAAAUCAGAGAAAUAAAAUAUGAAUAUCAACUAAACCAAUGCGAGCUAUAUAAAUAAUUUAAUAAUAACACAAGACAAUAGUGUUGGUGUACGCAUUUAAAAAAAGAAAACAUUAAUACAACAGCAAAUUUGUGAAGACAGAAUAGUUAAAUACAAUAACUAACAUGAUAAAAACAUUGCACAAAAUAUCAUUUUGAAAAUUAAAUAUUGAUAAUAGGCGCCAAGUGUGCAAUUUAACAUGUUGGUUAAUACUUAAAAUUGAAUUGAACGGCAUAUGCAGCUCAUGCUACUUUAAUAGUUUUGUGUACCUUACAUAUUAAUAUUGUUUUACCAUGGUUAACAACAACACCAGGAAAAUCAUUUAUUCAAUGAAUAUAUUUGGUAAUAUUCAAUAUUUUAUAUCUUAUUUGGCCUAAGGUUAUACUGAAACGGUGAAGCCUUACAAUUUCUAUUGAUCGAGUUUCAAUUGACGCUUUGACAUUUUCUUUUUGGAAGUAAAGUGUUAUGGACUUUAUUAUUUGCAUUCAAAAUCGUGCAUUUAAGUGUGUUGUUUAUCUUUCCUUUACCGCUAAUGAUCGUUUCUUCGUGUCCGUUAUAAAUCUCAUGAUUUACCAAUUAAGGCCAGCUGUUGUUUUGAACAAAACACGAAUUUCCUAUUUGAAGUCUUUAAACAAAUGCAAAAUAGCGUUAAUUACUUAAUGUAACAAUCAUAGCUUGUAAAUAUGUGCCUUUAACUGGAUGGAAUUGCUGAUUUGGGUAUGUUUCGAUAAAAGGUAAUAUAUACCAUGGUCUGAAAACAUGCGAACAGUAAUAAAGACUAGCGUUAUAUGGAACGUGGGCAGGCUGUACAAUAAUUAAUGUUUAUGCUAAUCUUACUUACUAUUCUUGUCCGGGACUUUUUUCUCAGAAGAAAACCAAUCCUAUCCAAUAGAAGUUGAUGAAAGCGACAGUUUCCAAGAAGCAAGCAAUACGUGUAUAAUUUCCGAUUUUUUUAUUUCAUUCUGUGCACUUUUAUUCGGCUCUAUUCAGAACUAUUGCGACAGAUUUGUUAUAAAUAAUAAGUGCGAAAACAAAUAAUCCGCUCGCGAAUAGCGGUUUGCUUGCAAAAGGUUAUGCGCAAAAAAUGUAAGAUCCUUAAUGCCGGUCCGUAAGAAAUAUUGUUAUUUGCCGUCAAGUAGAAACCACCAUCGUUAGUUUUGAUCCAAUAUCGGAUUGCGGAUAUUUUUGGAAGUGUCAAUUUUGUUAUUAUUACAAACCCACACAGCAAAUAUUUAAUUUGUAUUUGCAACCACAAAAUUGAGAAAGGACAAUUUUAGCUGGGUUGUAUUUUUCAUAGUUUUGCUGAAUUGCACAUCCUAGUGUGGCAAUUUAAAUAUACUUUAUAUUAUAUUAUUAAUAUUUUGUAUUAACUAAAUGGUUCAUGAUAGAAAAUGUAUAUGUAUAGUUUAAGUGUUAUCCAAUAAAUUUGAUUAUUAUUGUUAAUGAAUACUGUGCUUUGAUGUUGUUGUUUUUGUUUGGGUAGUGUAAAUAACCUGACGGUAAAAACUGUUUGUUGUUGGGUGUGUUGUUGGUUGGUUUGUUGUUAUUUGAUAUCAGUCGGUUGCAUUUCAUAGAAGCAAUACAAGUAGGUAAACGAAAAGUUAUGUCAACAUUAAAGUGUACAACAUAUAAAUAUUGUUGUAAAAUAAAGUGUUCGAUAUCUU